GGGCAGUUAGCUCAGUGGUAGAGCGUCUGCCUUACAAGCAGGGGGUCACUGGUUCAAAUCCAGUACUGCCCA
rnacentral:tRNA from 1 species